CUCCACCAAGGCUACAUCUGAAGCCAACCGCUGUUCCGUCCCUCAGACUUUGGCCACACCAUCCACCUCCGCCGAAACGCCGGAAGUCUACUUACCAACAGAAAAGGGAAGCAAAUAAGAUAUCGCCUCAAGCAGACAAGCAGCCGUCAAUUUCUCAACAUCGAGUUCAGCCCCCCAUAGCCUCUGCAACUGUCACAGCCACGGAAUACCCAACUAUUGAGCUACAAGACCAUGAUAGCAUUACCAAGACGGCGUAUGCAGUGAGCAGUGCCAAGGUGGGCAUGAUGGGAGCUGAGUCAGGGAAGAAGAGGGUGGUCUCGGGGAAACAGUCACUGGCAUCAACACUCUCCAACCAUCUACUCCCACCAAAGCGGCACCUGGUGUCCAAGUAUCUAGCACAGAGACUAUAAUAUCGAACUUAUCAGAGUAUGUGCCAGGCACUGAAAGUUCCGACUCCCACAGCGAAUCUGAUAGCUCUCCUCCAGCCAGUGACACAUCACCUGAAGACAUGUACUUUGUCUGUGAGUCGUCCCUCUUUACGCUAAUGAAGUAUUGCCCCAAGUGCGGAGGGAAAGUUAUCAGUCAAAGCAAAACCGUAGUUGGUCCCAUGCUAGUGGUGAAGAUGAUAUGUGAGCAGGGCUGUGUCGUCAUUUGGCGGUCGCACACCACCACGGGGAGUCAACGACAGUCACUGUGUGAGUACAUGUAUUUCUGGUAUUUUCUGGCUUCCAUUUCUCUUAAGUUAAAUCACCAUUU